rnacentral:rRNA from 1 species
AAAAACAUCGCCUCUUGCAAAAAUCAAAGUAUAAGAGGUCCUGCCUGCCCAGUGAUAUUAAAUUAAACGGCCGCGGUAUUUUGACCGUGCUAAGGUAGCGCAAUCACUUGUCUUUUAAAUGAAGACCUGUAUGAAUGGCGGAACGAGGGCUUAACUGUCUCCCUUUUUAAGUCAGUGAAAUUGAUCUGUCCGUGCAGAAGCGGACAUAAACAUACAAGACGAGAAGACCCUUUGGAGCUUAAGACACAAGGUCAACUAUGUCAAAAAUCUCUACAUAACGAAAAACAAACAAAAUAAUAACUGACCAGCGUCUUCGGUUGGGGCGACCGCGGGAGAAAACCAAGCUCCCAUGUGGAAUGGGUUAAAAACCUAAAACCAUGAGAGACAUCUCUAAGCCACAGAAUUUCUGACCAAAAGAUCCGGCACACAGCCGAUUAACGGACCAAGUUACCCUAGGGAUAACAGCGCAAUCCCCUCCAAGAGUUCAUAUCGACAAGGGGGUUUACGACCUCGAUGUUGGAUCAGGACAUCCUAAUGGUGCAGCAGCUUUUAAGGGUUCGUUUGUUCAACGAUUAAAGUCCUACGUGAUCUGA